rnacentral:tmRNA from 1 species
GGGGGCGUCUUGGAUUCGACGGGUGCCGUGGGGCGAUUGAUGCGUGCCGAGGUCCUGGGUCCUCGUAAAACCUCUGGGAAACGUUCAAAUGCCAACGCUGAGUACGCGCUGGCUGCGUAAAGCUUAACCGCUUUGCGCACCUGCCCGAGAUGGAGCCCGCCUGAGGCGCCGCUCGGGUAUCGAAAAGUCAGGCUGGCCGAGCGUGGCGCCCUGGAGCGCGCGGCGAGAUCUGAGGGGCUAGACCGAUUGCAGGCUUCCCGACGGCCGGCAGGCGGCGACGGCAUGAAUAUCGGGAUACGCACGUAGACGCAGUCGCGGAUCGAUGCUCGGACCGGGGUUCGAUUCCCCGCGCCUCCACUG